AAAUAUUCCUGCACCGUCGUAUGAUGCGAUGGGGGGACGGAUCGCGGAAGGUUGUCUGACUGUUGGAAUAGUCGGUUUCUGGUUCAUAGGAGGCACUUAGGCAAAUCCGGGUGCGUAAUCCAAGGGACUGGGACGAGUGAACUUGUUCACGAAGCAAUCGGAAGUGGUUCCAAGAAAAGCCUCUAAGCUUCAGUCAUACGAGACCGUACCGCAAACCGACACAGGUGGGCGAGAUGAGUAUUCUAAGGCGCUUGAGAGAACUCGGGAGAAGGAACUCGGCAAAUUGGUACCGUAACUUCGGGAAAAGGUACGCCUCGGUAGUUUGACCACUUUACUGUGGAAGGACGAAAAGGUUGCAAUAAACUGGUGGCUGCGACUGUUUAAUAAAAACACAGCACUCUGCAAACACGAAAGUGGACGUAUAGGGUGUGACGCCUGCCCGGUGCUGGAAGAUUAAAUGAUGGGGUGCAAGCUCUUGACUGAAGUCCCAGUAAACGGCGGCCGUAACGAUAACGGUCCUAAGGUAGCGAAAUUCCUUGUCGGGUAAGUUCCGACCUGCACGAAUGGCGUAACGAUGGCCACACUGUCUCCUCCCGAGACUCAGCGAAGUUGAAAUGUUUGUGAUGAUGCAAUCUACCCGCGGCUAGACGGAAAGACCCCAUGAACCUUUACUGUAGCUUUGCAUUGGACUUUGAACCAAUCUGUGUAGGAUAGGUGGGAGGCUUUGAAGUAGGGACGCCAGUCUCUAUGGAGCCAUCCUUGAAAUACCACCCUGGUUUGUUUGAGGUUCUAACCUUGGUCCGUUAUCCGGAUCGGGGACAGUGCAUGGUAGGCAGUUUGACUGGGGCGGUCUCCUCCUAAAGUGUAACGGAGGAGUUCGAAGGUACGCUAGGUACGGUCGGACAUCGUGCUAAUAGUGCAAUGGCAUAAGCGUGCUUAACUGCGAGACUGACAAGUCGAGCAGGUACGAAAGUAGGACAUAGUGAUCCGGUGGUUCUGUAUGGAAGGGCCAUCGCUCAACGGAUAAAAGGUACUCUGGGGAUAACAGGCUGAUUCCUCCCAAGAGUUCAUAUCGACGGGGGAGUUUGGCACCUCGAUGUCGGCUCAUCACAUCCUGGGGCUGUAGCCGGUCCCAAGGGUAUGGCUGUUCGCCAUUUAAAGUGGUACGUGAGCUGGGUUUAAAACGUCGUGAGACAGUUUGGUCCCUAUCUGCCGUGGGCGUUGGAAAUUUGAAGGGGGCUGCCCCUAGUACGAGAGGACCGGAGUGGACGAACCUCUGGUGUACCGGUUGUCACGCCAGUGGCAUUGCCGGGUAGCUAAGUUCGGAAGAGAUAACCGCUGAAAGCAUCUAAGCGGGAAACUUGCCUUAAGAUGAGAUUUCCCGGAGCCUUGAGCUCCUUGAAGGGUCGUUCGAGACCAGGACGUUGAUAGGUCAGGUGUGGAAGUCAAAAAA
rnacentral:rRNA from 1 species